GAUGAACGCUAGCUACAGGCUUAACACAUGCAAGUCGAGGGGAAACGAUAGAGAAAGCUUGCUUUUUCUAGGCGUCGACCGGCGCACGGGUGAGUAACGCGUAUCCAACCUGCCCACCACUUGGGGAUAACCUUGCGAAAGUAAGACUAAUACCCAAUGACGUCUCUAGAAGACAUCUGAAAAGAGAUUAAAAGAUUUAAUCCGGGUGAUGGAUGGGGAUGCGUCUGAUUAGCUUGUUGGCGGGGUAACGGCCACCAAGGCGACGAUCAGUAGGGGUUCUGAGAGGAAGGUCCCCCCANAUUGGAACUGAGACAC
rnacentral:rRNA from 1 species